rnacentral:rRNA from 1 species
UGGGGAAUAUUGCACAAUGGGGGAAACCCUGAUGCAGCGACGCCGCGUGAGCGAUGAAGGCUUUCGAGUCGUAAAGAUCUGUCCUAUGGGAAGAUAAUGACGGUACCAUAGAAGAAAGCCCCGGCUAAUUACGUGCCAGCAGCCGCGGUAAUACGUAAGGGGCGAGCGUUGUCCGGAAUUAUUGGGCGUAAAGAGUGCGUAGGCGGCAAAUUAAGUCAGAUGUGAAAACUAAGGGCUCAACCCAUAGAUUGCAUCUGAAACUGAUAUGCUUGAGUCAAGGAGAGGAAAGUGGAAUUCCUAGUGUAGCGGUGGAAUGCGUAGAUAUUAGGAGGAAUACCGGUGGCGAAGGCGACUUUCUGGACUUGAACUGACGCUGAGGCACGAAAGCGUGGGGAGCAAACAGG